UGACGCCUAAAAUUAUACUGAGUGCAAACGGUGUUGCAAACACCCAUUCGUCAACAAUGGAUAAAAUUGAAAUAAAUGUCGAUUUCGCACAGCAAAUUCUAAAUAUCCUCAAAUGUAAGGAGAAACAACCUGUGCACAACAAUGAAGACAACAUACACACAGUUAUAGAGAAUUUGCAACUAUUACGAAAUAAUGGUGGACCCUCCAACGUGCAAGCUGAAAAAUCGCGUAAAAUCCCAACCUCAACUGAGCUUAACAAAAUUGACGAAUAUCAGUGCAAACAGUGGGACCUUCCAUUCACGGAUCUGUCAGAAUUACGUGAUCACUUUCGAACUAUCCACCGAAGAAUAGUGGUCACAAUUGAUAGUAAGCUCUUGUGUCACGAUUGCCACGACUUUUAUGCAGACGGCCGUUGUUUUAACAGGCAUAAAUGCCACCCUAAAAGCGAAUUAACAAAUCCAAAUGAUCCAAUUAUCGUUCGAACCAAUUCCAAAAAAUUAACACUAAGCUUGCGGUGUGAGCAAGAACUCUCGCUCAAGAUAGCACAAAACGUGCGCUCUCGGCAGAAAUAAUGCUCACGACUAUCUAUGACCACUAUUCUUCUUAAAUUCAGGUUUUGAUUAUUGUUGCCCCUUUAUACAUAACGCCGAACGACAAGAAAAAUACACAGGUAGUCCAGUUCUGUUUUUUGGAAGAGAGAAGGGCUUUUCCAGAAGCACUGCGCGAUUGCACUCGCUCCUCUCUUCGUAAUGAUACGUAAUCCUCUCUCGCGUCUAAGAUGUAAAUGCAAAUGUUGCUGUCACUUCCUCUCGGAACGGAACAUUUUUGAAGGAUGGGAUGAGUUUUGUGUCCAUCUGAACCAGGGCAGGGCAAGACUAAACAUUCCUUUAUAAUUCGCUUAAUAAAAGUACUUACGCCAUCAGAUUCUUGCCGAAUCAAUCCGUCCGCCCUAAUCUAAGUGCAUAGUGGUACCACGUUUGUCGUGGAACCACUAUGGCACCACUAAUAAAUACGAGGAAGAGAAUUGACAACUAAAUUAAAGGCAGAGGAGAGUGAAAAUGUUGACUCUGAUAAAUUUGUAGGUGCUCGAGAUGAGAAGGACUCGGGUUACGUCCCAUCCAGGUCAACACACCUGGACAAAGACGAUGACCGUGUACAAAUAUGACGUUGACUUGGAUUAAAAACUCCUCUUGCACCAGGGACCAUCUUUUUUAAGGGUGUAUAUGGCAAUCCACCAAGUGGAUCAAUUUCGAGUUAUGCCAGUUUCUACGUACACAUAUCUAAAUAUCUACUAUACAUAUCUGAUUUGCUGUCGGUGGCGGAUAUCUUCCAUUAAUAUGGGGGCCAACUUGCAUCGAUGUCGGCGGCGCCCAACGUACAUCCACGUCAACGGCGGUUGCCAUCAAAGUUGGCGGUCAACUUGCAGCACGUGAGUUUGUGACCGUAAACCAACCGUCGAAGUAACUAAGUAUUUUGUAACAACAAUGCAUACACAUUUACACAUAAUCACGGUCACCUCUACGCCGCCAGGUACAUAUAUUUGUUCCAUGCUACACCUUAGAACAGUCACUCCAUUUCAUUAUAACAAACUUAUAAAAUUAAAAAUCAAAAAAUUGAAAUGAAUAAAUUCACACAAAUUAGUUUA